GCGUGGGAACAUACCCUUCACUGCGGAAUAGCCUCUGGAAACGGAGAGUAAUACCGCAUACGCCCUUCGGGGAAGAUUCAUCGCUUUGGGAGGGUCUCGCGGCCUAUCAGCUUGUUGGUGAGGUAACGGCUCACCAAGGCAUCGACGGGUAGCUGGUCUGAGAGGACGAUCAGCCACACUGGGACUGAGACACGGCCCAGACUCCUACGGGAGGCAGCAGUGGGGAAUCUUGCACAAUGGGCGAAAGCCUGAUGCAGCGACGCCGCGUGGGGGAUGAAGGCCCUAGGGUCGUAAACCCCU
rnacentral:rRNA from 1 species